UUGCAUCCCAUUGGAAAAGGCGUUGCAUUCCGUUGCAAAAGGCAUUGCAUUGCAAAAGGUGUUGUGUUUUAUUGCAUCCCAUUGCAAAAGGCAUUGCAUUGCAAAAGGUGUUGCAUCCCAUUGCAAAAGGCGUUCCAUUCCAUUGCAAAAGGCAUUGCAUUCUGUUGCAAAAGGGGUUCCAUUGCAUUGCAAAAGGCAUUGCAUCCCAUUGCAAGAGACAUCCCGUUGCAAAAGGCAUUGCAUUCCAUUGCAAAAGGGGUUGUAUUGCAUUGCAAAAGGCAUUGCAUCCCAUUGCAAAAGGCAUUGCAUUCCACUGCAAAAGGCAUUGCAAAAGGCAUUGCAUCCCAUUGCAAAAGACAUUCCAUUGCAAAAGGCAUUGUUUUAUUGCA
rnacentral:lncRNA from 1 species